CUUUCAAAACGUUUGCUGUACUCAUCUGUACCCCUCACAAACUUACCAGAUACAGCCACAAGUUUGUAAAUACCCUGCAAUUCUACGAGUUGAACAUUCAAGGGAUUAAUUUAGCAACAGCUGCAGCAAAUAUGGAACAAGUGAGGGCCCUGCAGGGAGGGAGAGCUCUUGAGGCCGACUGGGUGCUGUUGCUUGGAGAGAGGCUGCAGGCCUGAAGUGGGGUGAGCAUGGCUGAGUGAGAGCGGUCCUGAGCUUGGAGGAGCCUGAAGGAAGAGGAAUAUGAGGUGCUCCUUGGUACUGGGUGUCAGGGUGACAACAGUAGAGAUGCCUGUAUUCCAACCACUGGUUUGCAUCUUUGAGCUUUGAGGGCCAGACAAGUUAAUUUUAACAGCUAUCAACACUGAAUUUGGUGAGUCUGUAUUCAGCUAGAGCAACUGAAAGUAGAAUCUCCUCUGUGGGAACCAAAGCCAAAAGGGGAAAGGAAAAAACAAACAAACAAAACUACUUUUAUCAGAUUUUCCAGUGCUGAAUAGAAUCAUGCUACUGGGGAGAACGGGAAAGGUGUCAAAGAUGCAGCUAUAACUUCCUAUAUGCUGAUCAGUCUAUACUGACUGACCCUGGAUGACUUAAAUGACCAUGAGAUCAAUCCAGUUUACAUUGCUGGAAUUAAUUUUUCAUGAAGUGGAGAAUCGCUGGAGCAGAGCAUCCCAAAUACCCUUUUGUUCCCAGUUAAAAUCCUUAACAAGAUCGGAAAGGCACAGAAACCUCUUCCAUUUGGCUUUAUCCCCUUACAGAGAGGGUUUGGCUUCUGGUCACUCAGAGCAAAAUACCUGUUCUUUGUGUCACUUGUACAGGAUCUGACUUUUUAAUUUAGGAUUUGUAAGCCACCUGCAUCAGGGCUGCACCUAGACCCAAUGGUUUGGAGAAGUUCCCAGUGGCUCCUGCUCCUCCGGUCCCCCAGGUGAGCCAGUGGUGUAAGCGUGGGAUAACAACCAAGCUGAGGAGCUGCGUGCAGAGUGAACUCCUGCUGCUCCUAACUUCUCUAGCUGCAUUUACACUACACCAAGGUAGUUCUCUGGAAGAAGUAGCCACAAGUCCACGUUGGCAGAGCUGGAUCUGAAGGCCCUUGACUGUAUUCCUUUGGGAAAAUCCCGUGUGCCUGGUACUGGGAGCACUGCUGACAGGCAUGCAGCUGAUGUGACUCCUUCCACUCGUCCAUCUGCCCCUGUAAGUGACAAAGCAAAGCAACAAAAAUGACUGAGAUUUCUGGGGAACCUCAGUGCCUUCCUAAAGGAGCACUAACAUCAGCUGCUGCAGGAGCAGAUGGGAUUUGUAGGACCCCCAAGCCCCAUCUGUUCACAAUAGACUUGAUGAGCCCAAGAUCCAGGGCACAGCUGAAUGUAAUGGUUAGCCCAGUGCUGUCAGCUGGCGGUGGAGAACAAGUGGGUCAGAGCAGCAGGAUUAGAAAGCAGAAGGUAAAAGCUUCUUUCUGGAAAAUGACAGAAAACACUUUUUACUGCUGUUGAAAUAUACAUGUGGUAGCAGCCAAAGUCUAGCAAGACCUAAAUCUGACUGGCUAUCCUCUGAACAGCCUUUUACCUUCUGAGUUACCUACAGCUGUGGCUACGCUGACCAAAUCAGCUCGCUGACUGCAGCGUGCAACCUUUUACUUAGUGGGUGGAGCUGGCACAGCAGCAUUUGUAACCUCAGAAGCUUGAAUAACCCAGUUUCUAAAAUCAUCGUACUCGCCAGGCUAUGCAAAGCAACAUAUAAUUAGAGCAGCCUCGACUAUUUCUAUUGAAACAGCUUUUGCAGCUUCUUGUUAGUUCUGAUAACAGGAAUGUUGCUGCUUCUGCACUAAUUGCUCUAACAACCUUCUGAGGGCUCAGCCCUGCCGUUUGUAUGUAGGGUUCCUGCUGAGCACACUGCUCUUACAGCGCAGGGGCUGCUGGCAAGAACAGGGAGCAGUGCUGGCUGCUGCUCUGCAAGUUUUUCCUCCAAAAAAACUAGAAGAGGCAUUAUCGCUUGUUACUGAUACACUUUGUCGCUGUGAUCUGCUCAGGUAAAUCUCUCUGAUUCCAUGAGGAGCUCCUCAGCCCUGUCUGCCUCCGUGGGCUCAGCUGUGACUUUCAGGAGCAGUCUUUCUCUACUGGGAGAGGGAGGAACACCCUUGGGUGAAAAAUGAUGAGCGCUUCUAAGAUGUCAUCCCUCUGCUGAUUAACUCACUAUUUUAUAUGGUGGGAAGAUGCUAGAGCUUCCUUUACACUCCCUUACCUUUGACGUAUUUAAGAUUCUCCAGGAUAGGAGAGCUUAUGCCCCGGUUUGGCUGUGAUUCUCAGCUGACACCUGGCAUUUCCACUUGGGGAGCAGCAGGGCACAGCUCACCUCUCUGGGGCAUAAACUCCUAGGACUGCUCGGCCGUGCUCGCAAGUGAGCUUCUUUGCCCAGCUGUGUUGUCAUGUCCCUGCAAUCUCAAACUCCAGCUGUGCCUGCACAGAAGACAAAUCAGCCACACAUCCCAAAAUGCCUAAGAAGACCAUCAGAGCUUUCCACACCAAAGCAAAGCUUCCCCUUUAGAGCCCCGGCUGAUGGUGGUGGGGUCAGGCUAAUGCAUUAGCAAGGCAGGAUCUUGCCCGUGUACUGCAGGUUGGAGUGGUGUAUUUGAAAUACUUUAACAAAAACUUUAUCAGUUGCUCUCUCUGGGGAAUUUGCCUGAUAUGUUGCAAUCAUCUGGAUAUUUUAACAGUUUCAAUAGACUUGCAUCAAAAUCACUUUGCCAUCAUCUUGACAUAGUAAUGUAGUCUCCAGUGACUGCAGUGACAUUAUUUUGCCAUCAUCUUGAUAUCAUCUAUUACAGCGUUGUAGUCCCCAUGCUCUGGCAUUGCUGAGUGCUUUGCCUCAUUAUAUUAUUUUCAUAAGCUUGCUUGGAAAUUAGUGCAAAAGAGCUGUGGUUUUCAUAGCCAGUUACAUGCAUAGGGGGAGUUCCCUGAAAUCAGAAAAGAUAUUUCAAGUACGCCGAUCAGCUAUUUUAAGAACACUCCAGAUUUUUAACAUUUUUCCUUUAAAUGACCAAAAUGUUUAAUUCAUACAAAACCGCCAGAAAAAUGUUCACUUAGGAGGUAAAUGAUGUUUUACUCAGAAUUUGGCAAGAGUACUGAGAACCGGUUCCAAAUUAUGCUUUUGUUCAAUUCUCCAUCAUUAAAAGCAACAUAAACUUGCUUAAUCUUUUUGGGAUGUGCACUGGAAGAAACAUUGUUUAUUGCAGCUUGAAAUAUUCUUACAUUUGUGAUCCAAUGAUUCCUACGUUUGUGACCCAACUUACUCUGAAUCAGCCCAGUCCUCAGCUAUACCACUUGACGUUUUGAAUAUAAACUUUCACAAACGUAUCACAAAUAUCUUCACAGGCACAGAUAAUUUCAGAGAUGAAAUUACCUGUGUUGAAUUGAAUUUGAAUCUCUUGUUGAAUUGACUUUGAUGGGGGAAAAGCUUGAGUCUGGGCUUAGCAUGAACAGAUUUAGCUAAAUCCACGUUGAACUCCGCCAUUCUUUGUGGCUAAGACAAACUCGGCUUCUUCAAUGGGGUUGCUAAUGUCAGUAUGAAGUGUGCACAUAAGUACUUGGAGGAUCCAAGAGUGCAAGAGCCAGAUGUAAAGAUUCCCACUGACUUUAAUGGCUUUAAAAUGGCUUCAGCAGAUUUAGAUCAGGCCCUUAGAGAGCUUCUACUUGUUAAUAUUUGUAGAAACAGGAGGAAAUUUUAAGCUUGGUACAUCAGUCAGUGCACAACGGUAAGCCUCUGGCAAUCCUGUAAGUGCUGGAGUUUGGAACUUAAAUAUGGAAAGUGCUGUCUGCGGUGGUUCAGCUCUGCAAAGGCCAGGAACAAGCUGCACCACUGACAUCACUGGAGAGAGCUGACACGGGACCUGAUGCUAAACAGCAGUUCAUAUUUUGUAACCUUUCUGUAAAUCGCCAGAGGGUCCCUGCUUCUCAAAACCUUGUUGUUUUCAUGUCUCUGCUCCACUGGUCUCUCUUUCACCUUUUUAGUUAAUCGCAUUUUCUAAAGAAAACAGCAAUUAAAAACAGGUAUCUAAUGAAGGCAUUAAUCUUCUUUUCAUGCCUUUGCAGGAGGCCAUCAGAUUAUAAACAUGAAGUUGCGAAAUAAAAUUAGUUUGAUUAUUUCUUAAUCAGGGGGAAAACGGUUGUGUUAUUUUUUUUUUGCCAUUGAUGUUACCCUUUUCAAAAGCACACACAUAGCAGGAGUUUUAAAAUUUCGGCUUUUAAAGGAUGUUGUCUCACAUUCUAGUACUGAUCCUUGCAGUAUUGUCUCUUGGUUGGCUGCCCUUUCAUUUCUCUUCAAUUACAGCUCUCUCAAAAGCUGUAUAGAGAAAGAUGCAAAAGAAUAACACGGGCCAUUAUUCUAGGCUUUCAGCGGUGGUAGACUCCACUAUAGCAGCCGUUCAAAUAAUGACUGAGCUAUCGCUUCCCUCAGAAGCUGUGCUGACAAAAUGCCACCAACAAAAUUCACGGACUUAGUUAAUGUUUAGUGGUGACAAGUUAUAGGAUGAUAUGGAAUCUCUUUCCAUUCAAAACCAGAAUUAUCUCGUAGCUCUGCAAGCUAUAUUAAAUCUCCAUUAGCUCAAAAAUGAGGCUAAAAUCAGGCCAUUCAUACACAGACAUCUGCUGAGCUUGCAGAUGAAUAAAACUUUGUGCUUCUCCCCUAUAUUCAGGGGGUUGGCAAACAAAUAAUUAUUUUCUGUUUCUAUUUUGUUCAUACAAAGCCACCA